AUGGCGAUGGCGGCGUCGUGGUGGGCGCUGCUGGCGGCGGCGGCGGUUGUGGCGGCGGCGGGGUGCGGCGAGGCGGCGCCCACGGCGGCGGCGGAGGCGGCGCACGACGUGCUGCAGACCCACGGCCUCCCGCGCGGGCUGCUCCCUGCGGGGAUCGCGGCGUUCUCGCACGACCCGGCCACCGGCCGGUUCGAGGCGGUCCUGGAGUCCCCCUGCACGUCGCGCACCGAGGUCGGCCUGCGGUACAACAUCACCGUGGCGGGGCAGAUCAGCUAUGGCCGGAUCGCCGAGCUCUCCGGGGUGGACGCUCAGGACCUAUUUCUCUGGUUCGCCGUGCGCAGCAUCCGCGUGGACGUGCCCUCCUCCGGCGUCAUCUACUUCGAUGUGGGCGUGGUCUACAAGCACUUCCCGCUGUCGUUCUUCGAGGCGCCGCCGCCGUGCGUGCCCACCCCGCUCAUCCUCCUGCAACCACAUCAGGUAAUUAGGGGCGACGGAUCGGUGGUGGAAGACGGCGCCGCGUUGCAACAAUGA
rnacentral:rRNA from 1 species